rnacentral:tRNA from 1 species
GCGGCCGUGGUAUAGUGGGUGAUUACUCUAGGACUCCCCACUCUAGCGAACCGGGUUCGAAUCCCGGCGGCCGCACCA